UACAUAUGCAGUUGGAGCCCUGAGUCAGU
rnacentral:piRNA from 1 species